CGUGCCCGGUAUUAAGUGCGUCGUAGGAUGGCUUUUCCUUUAUUUAAGAAUCUGAGGGAAUAAAGGGGGGGCAAGUCUGGUGUCAGCCGCCGCGGUAAUACCAGCCCCCUGAGUGAUAGGGACGAUUAUUUAGCCUAAAGCGUCCGUAGCCGACUUAGUUAGUCUUUCGUUAAAUCUAGCGACUCAAUCGUUAGGCCGCGGAAGAUACUGCUAGGUUUGAGGGCGGGAGAGGUUGACGGUAGUCUAGGGGUAGGGGUGAAAUCCUAUAAUCCCUGGAGGACCACCAGUGGCGAAGGCGGUCAACCAGAACGCACCUGACGGUGAGGGACGAAAGCUGGGGGAGCAAACCGGAUUAGACACCCGGGUAGUCCCAGCUGUAAACGAUGCAGGCUAGGUGUUGGGGCAGCCACGUGCUGAUCCAGUGCCGCAGAGAAGUUGUUAAGCCUGCCGCUUGGGAAGUACGGUCGCAAGGCUGAAACUUAAAGGAAUUGGCGGGGGAGCACCACAAGGGGUGAAGCCUGCGGUUCAAUUGGAGUCAACGCCGGGAAACUUACCAGGGCUGACAGCAGAGUGAAGGCCAGACUAAAGAUCUUACUAGACAAGCUGAGAGGUGGCGCAUGGCCGUCGCCAGUUCGUGCCGUGAGGUGUCCUGUUAAGUCAGGCAACGAACGAGACCCCCACUAUUAGUUGCUAUCAGAUUCCGACGGAAUGCUGGGCACACUAAGAGGACUGCACGAUAAGUGAGAAAGGAGGGGCUACGCCAGUCAGUAUGCCCCAAAUGUCUGGCCACACCGGCUGCAAUGGUUAGGACAUGGAUUCUGACCUCGAAGAGAAAGUAAUCUCCAAACCUAUCGUAGUUGGGAUUGAGGGCUGAACUCCCCUCAUG
rnacentral:rRNA from 1 species